UUUAUCCUGCAAUGGCAGUAAGAUGGUGUAUUAUUGGAACCAACAGUAUAUAAUUGGGAACUGGACUCCGGGCGUGGAAAACAAGCCUCCUUGUAGAGGAAGUUUGAGCCGUUCGGGAGGUGCCCACCGUGAUUAGCACGGUUCCUUUAAUUCUGUCUUUAGCUAUUGCAGGGUAUUU
rnacentral:other from 1 species